CACAUGCGUUUUUCUCUUGGAUCUUAUUAUAUCACAUAAGGAAUAACCCGUCUUAAGUGCCUCGUCCAUCGAAUUCUGGCACAUGCCUUGCCAGUGAGAAAAUCCGCUUCAUUAUCUGCAGGUUGCAAAUGAAUCUUCCCUUUGGAAUUAGGAGAGAACGCUUGGUUGCUAAUGAAACAAAGGAAGGCUCACCGUGUGAUCUUUACUCUGCAUUUAUCCCACCAUCCACUGUCAUCACACACCAGACCACUGAGGAUGUCUGAUCUACUGUGAACUUCUGCAACAUGAGCUGAAAUAAACCUUCCUUUGCAAGUAGCUUUUCUCAGGUUUCUUUGAUAAGGGGAAGGAAGUACAAUCAAGAGUGAAC